GAUGAACGCUAGCGGCAGGCCUAAUACAUGCAAGUCGAGGGAGAGGUUUGGUGCUUGCACUAGAUGGGAACCGGCGAACGGGUGCGUAACACGUAUGCAACCUACCUAUAACUGGGGGAUAGCCCGAAGAAAUUCGGAUUAAUACCCUAUAAUAUUUUGAUCUCGCAUGGGAUUGAUUUUAAAACUCCGGUGGUUAUAGAUGGGCAUGCGGUCUAUUAGUUUGUUGGUGAGGUAACGGCUCACCAAGACUACGAUAGAUAGGGGGUCUGAGAGGAUGAUCCCCCACACUGGUACUGAGACACGGACCAGACUCCUACGGGAGGCAGCAGUAGGGAAUAUUGGACAAUGGACGCAAGUCUGAUCCAGCCAUGCCGCGUGCAGGAAGACUGCCCUAUGGGUUGUAAACUGCUUUUAUACAGGAAGAAACCUCCCUACGUGUAGGGAGCUGACGGUACUGUAAGAAUAAGGACCGGCUAACUCCGUGCCAGCAGCCGCGGUAAUACGGAGGGUCCAAGCGUUGUCCGGAUUUAUUGGGUUUAAAGGGUACGUAGGCGGGACUUUAAGUCAGUGGUGAAAGCCUCCAGCUUAACUGGAGAAUUGCCAUUGAAACUGAAGUUCUUGAAUAUGGAUGAGGUGGUUGGAAUAUAACAUGUAGCGGUGAAAUGCUUAGAUAUGUUAUAGAACACCAAUUGCGAAGGGCAGAUCACUAAACCAUUAUUGACGCUGAGGUACGAAAGCGUGGGGAGCGAACAGGAUUAGAUACCCUGGUAGUCCACGCCGUAAACGAUGUUCACUCGCUGUUGGCGAUAUACUGUCAGCGGCCAAGCGAAAGCAUUAAGUGAACCACCUGGGGAGUACGAUCGCAAGGUUGAAACUCAAAGGAAUUGACGGGGGCCCGCACAAGCGGUGGAGCAUGUGGAUUAAUUCGAUGAUACGCGAGGAACCUUACCAGGGCUUAAAUGAUAAUUGACCGUCGCCGAAAGGUGUCUUUCUUUUAGACAAGUAUCAAGGUGCUGCAUGGCUGUCGUCAGCUCGUGCCGUGAGGUGUUGGGUUAAGUCCCGCAACGAGCGCAAACCCCUAUCUCUAGUUGCCAGCAAGUAAUGUUGGGGACUCUAGAGACACUGCCUACGUAAGUAGUGAGGAAGGUGGGGACGACGUCAAGUCAUCAUGGCCCUUACGUCCUGGGCUUUCACGCGUGCUACAAUGGAUGGUACAAAGAGCAGCCGACUCAGCGAUGAGGAGCGAAUUCUCGAAAAAACCUUUCUCAGUUCGGAAUCGGAGUCUGCAACUCGAACUCCGUGAAAGCUGGAAUCGCUAGUAAUCGCGUAUCAGCAAAUGACGCGGUGAAUACGUUCCCGGGCCU
rnacentral:rRNA from 1 species